rnacentral:lncRNA from 1 species
CUCCUUGGUAUUCUUUGUAAAUUACCAAGGAGAUAUGCAUAUAUGUAUAAUAUAGUGUUCUAUUUUUUUUUUAAUCAGUUGACCUGAGUUUUGAAGUUCAUUUGCCUGGCACUGAUUUAAGUACUGUGGAUAAACCUGCCCUCAAGUACAUUACAAUCUAAUUGGGAAGCUAAACUGAAUAUGAAACAAUGAGCCACUAAAUGCAACAAACUGAACUGAAGAAAUGAUAAGAUCUGUGACUGAUUAGAGGUUGUCGUUGCUGCAAGUGAUGUAUCGGGAAAGACUCUGCGUCUUUGUCCCUGAUCCAUGGGAGAGAGUACAGUGCUGUGUGGAUAACAUCCCCAUGGGCCGAGGAGUCAAGUGGGAAGCACCGUGCCAUGCAUCUCUGGCUGCCUCAGAUCUUCCUCUUCUCAUCUAUGCAGCAGAAGAAAUUAUGUUGCGUGAAUAUCAGCAUGAUAUCAGUAAAUGCCUCUAAAGCCUCUGACAAUGUUUUCCAACCAAAAGGUUUUAACUUGAAACUUUCUCAUAAAAAGUGAGUAAAACCUCUUUUCUCUCCACGUUGCUUUACUGAAACUGCUACCAUGAGACAUGUUGUGAAAGGAAGGACAACUUUCAUUUUUUUGCUCACUUUUGUAUUUCCCAUAUUCAUAUUCUGCAUGGCACGUAGUAGUGCAUUCAACAUGUAUUUGUCGAAUGAACAAAAUGUAAACAUGUUGACUUUUCUUUCCAAUAAACAUUGGCUCUAUGAUUGGAUGUGUUAAAAAGAUAACUUUUACCUAAUUAUAAUUAUAAAUUGUAAG